ACGCGCAGAACCUUACCAACCCUUGACAUGGGUAUCGCGGGACCAGAGAUGGUCCUUUCAGUUCGGCUGGAUACCACACAGGUGCUGCAUGGCUGUCGUCAGCUCGUGUCGUGAGAUGUUCGGUUAAGUCCGGCAACGAGCGCAACCCACACUCUUAGUUGCCAGCAUUCAGUUGGGCACUCUAGGAGAACUGCCGGUGAUAAGCCGGAGGAAGGUGUGGAUGACGUCAAGUCCUCAUGGCCCUUACGGGUUGGGCUACACACGUGCUACAAUGGUGGUGACAAUGGGUUAAUCCCAAAAAGCCAUCUCAGUUCGGAUUGGGGUCUGCAACUCGACCCCAUGAAGUCGGAAUCGCUAGUAAUCGCGUAACAGCAUGACGCGGUGAAUACGUUCCCGGGCCUUGUACACACCGCCCGUCACACCAUGGGAAUUGG
rnacentral:rRNA from 1 species